AACGAACGCUGGCGGCGUGCUUAACACAUGCAAGUCGAGUGCACAGUUCCUGUAGCAAUACAGGGAUGGGUGCACGGCGCACGGGUGCGUAACACGUGGGCAAUCUGCCCCUCCGAUGGGGAAUAACCCCGCGAAAGCGGGGCUAAUUCCGCAUAACAUUCCCUGGACUGCGGUCCGGGGACUCAAAGCCGUAAGGCGUCGGAGGAGGAGCCCGCGCCCGAUUAGCUAGUUGGUAGGGUAACGGCCUACCAAGGCAAUGAUCGGUAGCUG
rnacentral:rRNA from 1 species